rnacentral:tRNA from 1 species
GCAGUGGUGUUUCAGUGUAGAAUUCUUGCCUUCCAGCUGGGAGAUUUGGGUUUGAUUCCCUACCAAUGCU